UACGUAGGGUGCGAGCGUUGUCCGGAAUUACUGGGCGUAAAGAGUUCGUAGGCGGUUUGUCGCGUCGUUCGUGAAAACUUGGGGCUUAACUCCAAGCGUGCGGGCGAUACGGGCAGACUUGAGUACUACAGGGGGAGACUGGAAUUCCUGGUGUAGCGGUGAAAUGCGCAGAUAUCAGGAGGAACACCGGUGGCGAAGGCGGGUCUC
rnacentral:rRNA from 1 species